CAGGCCUGGGUAAAAACUUCUUUAAAAGGAGGCAGCAAAGCCUUUUCUGAUACCAACUCUUGAUCUAAAGCAAAUUCCCAGGAGAAGUCUUUUAUGGGUUUUGAAUUUGCAGUAACAAGUGUGAACAUUCUAGCAGCAGUCUGAUGAUCCACAUAUGAUAAGGCAAACGGGA
ensembl:snoRNA